UACGAAGGGGGCUAGCGUUGCUCGGAAUCACUGGGCGUAAAGGGUGCGUAGGCGGGUCUUUAAGUCAGGGGUGAAAUCCUGGAGCUCAACUCCAGAACUGCCUUUGAUACUGAAGAUCUUGAGUUCGGGAGAGGUGAGUGGAACUGCGAGUGUAGAGGUGAAAAUUCGUAGAUAUUCGCAAGAACACCAGUGGCGAAGGCGGCUCACUGGCCCGAUACUGACGCUGAGGCACGAAAGCGUGGGGAGCGAACGA
rnacentral:rRNA from 1 species